rnacentral:rRNA from 1 species
UACGUAGGGUGCAAGCGUUGUCCGGAUUUAUUGGGCGUAAAGAGCUCGUAGGCGGUUUGUCGCGUCGGAUGUGAAAACCUGUGGCUUAACCACGGGCCUGCAUUCGAUACGGGCAAACUAGAGUGUGGUAGGGGAGACUGGAACUCCUGGUGUAGCGGUGAAAUGCGCAGAUAUCAGGAAGAACACCGGUGGCGAAGGCGGGUCUCUGGGCCACUACUGACGCUGAGGAGCGAAAGCGUGGGGAGCGAACAGG